rnacentral:tRNA from 5 species
GCCACCGUAGCUCAGUGGUAGAGCACUCCCUUGGUAAGGGAGAGGUCAUGGGUUCAAGUCCCAUUGGUGGCU